UUUUUUUUUGUCUAAACCGCUUGCAGAGCAUUGACUUUCUAUCAACUGUCAUUGAUAAUCAAGAUGUGACUGCCAUUCUUCUUCAGCCUUUGAUAAAAGUGGGAUUGGUUGACCAUGUUAUCAGUUUGUUAGCAAGUGAGAUCGAAAAAUUAUCAGAUGAGAGCAAAUUUGACAGGUACGAUGAGCAGUAUUCUUGUGAAUUGAACCAAUUUUAGAACAUGCUCUUUUCGUAUAAUAUUAUCUGUUAUCCAUAAAAAAAUUAUCUGUUGCCUGUACUGAAUUUAUUCUUGAUACCCUCAGGUUUUCACUAUGUAUUUUGGAGAAUUUUCUUUAGGUAAUAAGAGUGCCAUAUUUGAUUAUCCAGUGUUUUUGAAGGUCUAGAAAUGAGGAUUUGUGCUCCAACCAUAAUAAUAAUUGUUUACAAUAUUCUAAUCUUCCUUCUGAUGCAAAGUUAAAAUCCCUCCUUGCUUUGUAGGUUGCAGGUGUUUCUUAUUUUCUUAUAGAUUGAUCUGUCUUGUAUUCCUGGUUUUGUUUUGAUUUGAUAUGCCCUUGUUAUUAUCCUUGUUACUUCAAUUUCAAGUUAAUAACUUGGGACAGAAAUAAAAAUAUAUGAUUUUCAUUUUAUGAACACAUUUCAGGUCCGUCUCUCUUGAUUUGAUCCUUCAUUUCAUUGAAGAGUUAUCUGCAACAGACAGCUGUUUAGAAGUGAUGUCAUCAAGUGACCAGCUGAUUCAAGUGCUUUAUAAGAUAAUUAAGUUACCUGAUAAAUUUGAGGUGAGCACUAUGCUUCCUUUUUUUUUUAUUUGACCAUCAGAAUCCUGUUUAGGUUACACAGUCUGGUUUACUGCCUUGUUUCGGUAUGAACCUUUACCAUCAGUAAAAUCAUGAAAUGGGAAAACGGACGCUUACAAAUUAUUGAAUUUGUAUACUCAGUUAGAUACCUGAAAUUUCUAUACCUAUAGAUAAUAUGCAACAAGAGCAUGGUAAUUGUGUUUUAUUUGCAAACUCUGCUUCAGGUUUCAAGCUAUUGUGCUUCUGUGGUGAUCAUACUAGCAAAUAUUCUGGCAGAUGGAAAGCAUAUUGUGCCUAGUCUCUCUCACGGUUGGUCACAUUUUAUGAAGAAUGCAUCUUACCAUUUGAAAAUCACUUUUGUGCUAUCCCAAUACUCUGGCAUUUUCAUUCUUUCAGAUUUACCCUUCUUGGAGGGACUCUUUGACAUUCUUCCACUGGUUUGUGAUGAUAACCAAGCUCGGAACGCUCUCUGGUGUAUCUUAGCACCUUUGCUGGCACAAGCACAAGGAAUUGAUAUGAACUCUUCAUCUCUCAACGACUUUGUAUCUCUUCUGUUAGGCAAGUUCACCCUCAUGAAAGAUGACCUUGAGAACCACAGAGUUGACAAAGAAGUGGAGAUGUCAGCUGAGGAUGCUUACGUGAAGCAUGGGGUAUCGGCAUCUGUAUCCUCCCAAAAAAUACUUCAUGGAGAUGUUGGAGCAUUUAUUUUCUUUUGCAGAGUUUAAUACGGCAAACAUGAUGAAACAUAUUGUAACAGCACCAUGUUUUUCCUAACCUACAAAAAAAAUUACAGCUCAGCGCGAUCUGCCGUAUCAUGGAGAGAUGGAUUGCUGAGAAGUCCUCCCGGAGCGAAGAAGAGGCUGCAUUGACUGAAAGUACCAUUGAAAAUGCUAGAAAGCUGCUAACCUACUGCCAGAAUUACGAUGCGUAACUUGCUUACUGCAACUCUAGUGGACAUUGCUGACCUGUGACUGUGACUCUGUAAGGUUGCAAUGCGCGGCUGCUUGAGCGUAGAAAGUCUUUUGAGGUUUAAUAUUAUUGUAAAGGGCAACGGUGGUAUAGAGUAAUCGGUUGCUAUAUAGCAUGUUUGUAUGCUUAUGAUUUAGCUAAGAGCAAAGGUUGGUCCUUAAACUAGUUGUGUCACUUAGGUACCCGUACUCUCAAAAUGCAUAUCUGGCUCCUUGAACUUAGGCUCGGGUGCCACUUAGGUGCCUAUACUCUCAAAAUGCAGAUCUUACUCCUUAAACUUGGCUUCAGCUUCGGGUGUCAUAUAGGUCUCUAACUCUUGAAAUGCAGUAUCAUCAUAUUAAUAGAACAUGAUAAGAUCAAAAUUUUAUGCUUUCAAGCAAGCCAUUACUUUCAUUGGUACAUUUCCAAACUUGUCUUAUUGCCCCGUCAGCUUCUCUUAAUAUUCGAUCAGUAAUUUAUCUUAUAAGCCCCUAAUUUUAGUUUAGUAAGUGUAAUAGGUUAUUUAAAUUUGAAUAAUCUUUCAAGAGGUAAGAUAUUACCUUCAAACUAAAAGAUCAUAAACCUUUCUGGGUUCACCACAUCAAUAUUAUCCACACAUGUUGAGUUGAAAUUCAUUUUAUUUGACUACAAUUAAAUUAUAUCUAUGUAAAAUUAAGUUUUUAUCAAUUUAAUUGAGAUGACAAUGCUUUUAGAGAGGAUAUGGUUCUAGAUGACACUCGAAGCCAAGUUUAGAGGGUUAGAUCUGCAUUCUGAGAGUACAGUGAUCUAAAUAACACCCGAGCUCAAGUUUAAGGAGCUAAAUAUACAUUUUAAGAUUACGAGGAUCCAAGUGACACAACGAGACAAGUUUAAGGACCGUUCAUGCACUUUAUGAUAACUGGUAGUGCUACACAAGAAGGUGCUGUCAUUUAUCCAGCAUCUACAUCAUGCCGAAGUCACCUGCAUUAAAACAAAAAAAAACUCAUAAGCUUGUACAGGAAAGCCCUUUUAUUCUCCGAAUCUUAAACCCUAUACGCGGCUAGUCCCUCAUUGCCACCGUUGUUUACAGAAAUGGAUCUGUAUGAUAAUUGAUAACAAACAGCCAACACUUCUUAUUUUUACCAGUCGGUCUAGAACAAAAUCGGUCAAACUUUAUAAUAUAAAGAAAAUUGUAAAAACACAUUUUAGGUGUCACUUUUUUGAGAUUUCCCUACAAGUUGUUUUGUUGCAAGUGUCUACUCGCCUGCUUAAUUAUGUGCAAAACCCAUCCUAGUAGACACGUGCUUAGUUGAUUCUAUUUGUUUGCACCAAUUUGGAAUCGACAAUGUAGUCCUUAUCAAAGUUACGUACUUCCAGAAGUAUAGUAUCAAUAUUUUUUGCUAUUCCACGAAAAAAAAUGCUGAUGGGACCUGAAAGUUAUCACAUCAAAUUUUGCUAUUUGCCCAAAAAAAAAUAUUGCAACAGCAUGAAUAAGCUUAAUUCGAGCACUUGAACAAAAGCUUGACUCGACAUGUAUUAAUGAAAAUCGGUUAAGCAUGUAGACUUUGGGGGUUGCAUCAAAUCAAGUAGGGAUAUGCAUUUGUAAAAUGGCUCACGUAAAAUCUCAAACAAGUGACAUAUAAGGUGUUUCUUAUGCGAUUUUUUUCUUAAGAAUAACAUAAGAUUGAAGACAUAAUUAUGAUGUUACUCUAAUAAUAAAUCCGUAUUGAAAAUAUCAUAUGUUUGCUGAUGUACUAAAAGACUUAUGUUCUUAUAAGAUUGGUAGGGUCUUUUUCAUGAUAAAAAAUCUUUUCCGUACGAAAUGGAUAGAACAACGUUUUUUUUUUUUUGCGAAUAUGGAUAGAACAACGUUAGAGACGAGGUCAAAGGCUCAAUUUCAAAGCAGAGAUUUUAACAAACAGGAAUCUUUUGGAGGUUAUAUACGCAAAAGGCCAAUCCUACUCAGCUAUUCCUUCGCAUCACCACACGUUCCACGAGCUUGGACCCCAGUUACACCACUACAGCACCCGCCACAGCCACAGCAUCACGGCCUUCCAUUCCCCAAUCUAGGGUUGCGAGCUCCCCGCCACAGCCGGCCAUGCCCGACGCGGACGUCGACGCCGAGAUGCGCGACGCCGCCGCCGCCGCCGCCGCACCCGCCGGCGACGACGGCGAGGACGACACCGGGGAGGAGGACGACGACGAAGACGACAUCGACGACGAGGACGAGGAGGAGCCGACCGCGCCGGUGCCUGUACCGCCCGUGGAGCCUCCCGUCCCGGCGCCCGUCUCGGUCUUGCCUGGAAACCCGAACCAGCUGACGCUGCUCUUCCAGGGCGAGGUCUACGUGUUCGAAUCCGUCACCCCCGACAAGGUCUGCCCCUCAAUUCAUUUCUUUCUGUUUUGCAAUUCACGUGGAAAUGUGCCGCUUGAGAAUUCGUGCGAUCGAAUCAGAAAUUUGACGUGCCUAGCUGAAGUCGUUCGCGAUUGGAUAUGUGCUCGAUGUUCUGUUUUUUGUUUGGAGUCAUUUCCUUGUCGAAUGGUGCACGUAUUUGAACAUCAGGAUUUGCACGGCUGUUCUCACAGCUCAUUCUGGCCGGUUUCUGUUCCCACCUGAUUUUUUGGUGGGGUUGAAGUUCGCUAGUCAAUAUUGGUUUGUCGAAAUAUUGCUGACGUGGCAUCAAUUGUGAGUACCGAGUACUGUUUCAUCGGCGAAUGAAAUGGUUUGUGUUGGGGUAAUGGCCUAAUGGGUUUGAGUUUUGAAGCAAAUUUUGUGCUAAUGUUGACGUACAUAGCAAUACUUUUAUGCAGCACAGUGCUGUUGUUAGUAAGACCAGUCGUAUAGUUUUGGUUUACUUCUGUAAAUUGGAUACAGUCCUUAGUCCUUUUGGCUUGAGGAAAAUUUGCAACCCUGAAAUAGCUUGCCUUUUCCCCUAUAAGGAGCACAUUAAGAAAACAGCAUGGUAAUUUGUACUACUUAGUGCCAUAAGCCAUAUGUUUUACCAUGUUACUUGAAUAUCCAUCUGUGUUUUUUCUAAGCUCAGUUUGGUUUCCAGGUUCAAGCUGUCCUGUUACUGUUAGGACGUGGUGAACUACCACCUGGUUCAACUGGCAUGGUUUUACCUAAUCAAAAUGAGAACAAGGUACGCAUAAAUUCUUCUGCAGUCUGUAUGACAAUAAUUUUAUCAGUGUUUUCUUCAUCAAUGAUUAAUUAGCAACUUAGCAUUCUUUCUGCAGGGGUAUGAUGACAUACUUCGGAGGACAGACAUUCCUGCAAAAAGGGUUGCUUCUCUAAUUAGGUUCCGUGAAAAACGGAAGGAAAGGAAUUUUGAUAAGAAAAUACGUUAUGCAGUUCGCAAAGAAGUUGCACUCAGGUUUGUAUCUCGUCUUGAGCAAGCAUCAAUUUUAUUUUGAAAUUCUAUUGAAAAAGGUCUAGAUAAAUUGUAGGUGUGGGCUACCAGUAUUUAUUUUCAAUCAUUCGCAAUCCUUCAUAUUAUAUCUAAUAAUGAAAUUAUUUUGGUGCCAAUAGGAGCGGAAUUUAUUUCUGAUAGUAGUUUUUUGUUAUUUUAUUAGCACGCCAUGCUCCUGCCACUUAAUUAAAUAAAUGAUCAUUAUUGGACCACGACAAUUGGUUUCACUGGAGAUGCAACUCAGCUCAGCGUUUUACUGUGAUGACCAAAAACACGUGCUGUUAGUCUUUCUCCUCGCACUUGAAGUUCACCCUGACCAGAUUAUAUUCAUCAGUAAGGGAACUUGAUUUUGUCCAAGCUCCUAAUUUUACUUGCUUGUCGUUUUUCUUUUCUUUCCUUUUUUUCUUUUGGGGUGUUUGGUCAAUUUCUUUGUCUUGUAAAUAUCAUCGGAGAAUGAAAAUUGCUCAGUGACGAUAGCAAUAGUGUGGUUCUAUGAUAAGAUGCUACAAAUAUUAUAUAGCGGUUGUUGGAUGUCAGACCAUAUGCUGCUCAAAGACAUGGAUAUAACCUAGGUUGGAACCUGAUAGGGAUAGCUAGGGGUCUAGGCCUAGGAUGCAGAGGAAGGCAUAUCCUCAGAACUGCAUGGUACAUAGUCACGUAAAAGUCCUCCAUGUCAAAACAUGGAGCAAACUAGCAUAUCCUCUAAAUUGGAUGGUAAAUUAGAUGUCUUAUUAAUAAUUGGUGGUGUUUUCUAUUAUUCUCAGGAUGCAGCGCCGGAAGGGGCAAUUUGCUGGAAGGGCCAGUCUGGAGGGAGAAUCUCCAGGUCCUGGCUGUGAUCCUGGUUCCCAAAGCUCAGGCCUAGAUUUCGUAUCUCGUGAAUCAAAGUCUGUCUUGUAUUCAAUUAGUUAACACUUGAUACGCUUUUCUACCUGUUUCACCAUUUAAUGGAAAAUUGACCUCUUUUUUUUUCCAAAUAAUAUUCUGCAGGUGUCAGAACUGCGGUACUAGUGAAAAGAUGACCCCAGCAAUGCGCCGUGGCCCUGCUGGCCCAAGGACUCUGUGCAAUGCUUGUGGAUUGAUGUGGGCAAACAAGGUACAUUUACAUGCUUAAACAUCUCUCUCUCUCUCUCUCUCUCUCUCUCUCUCUCUCUCUCUCUCUCUCUCUCUCUCUCUCUCUGAUGGCUGACAUGAUCAUAUUUAUUUUCAUAUAGAUAGACAAUCCCUUAAUGCAUUUUCUUGUAACUUUUCCAGUCCCAAAGUGGUAUGGAUGCGAACACAGUCCCUAAAGGGCCGCUUGGCCAUUAAUUUCUAGUAAAAUUAUAUAUGUGAAACCAAAUGAAUUAUGAUAUUAUGAAAGCAUUUUCCAAGAUGAAUAUAUACAUAUCAUUUUCAUAUGACAAGUCUAAACAGACAUGACAACAUUCUAGGUCAAGCGAAUUGGUUGACUAUUUGUGAAUGGAGGGAGAACACAAUAAUAUUCAGGUGUAAUCUUUUUUGCAUGAUUAAACUUGGAAAAGUAGUCCUCCACAGCAUGGUUAACGCUGCGCUUGUUGCGAUGGUGUAACAGGACAUGCUAAGGUAGCAAUUCUGUUUUGCUGUUAGUGUGCUCGCAGCAAUGGUGCAUGCGUGGUUUCUGGUUAAAAUCAUGUCAUGUUGCCGCUGAAUUACAAAUACAGAGCUAUAUCUAGUCAUGCUCAUGUUGCUUGUUGAAGUCGUCAAAUAUGAACUUUAGCUGCAGUGCCUUAUCUUUUAAGAUAAAUAAUGCCUCCCCCAUGGAGGUCUGCUGUUGCAAUUUAAUGGUGAUAUGUCAGAAUAAUAGUCACAUUUUUCUUUGGAGAUGAACAGGAGGUAUCAUUUAACGCUUGAAAAGUUAAGGGAGCCCAUCUUUCUUGUAGUACUGUUAGCAAACUGCACCUUCGACUGUUAUUAUUUCAGUUGCACAGAGAUUGGGAGAAAGUGCAACCAGUUCUCUAUGCUAUGAACUUAUCUCAACUCUCAAGAUUUGACCACCCCUAAGCUUUUAUCAGGAUUUGACUGCUGAUUCCUAAAUAUAGUAUUUGGUUUUUGCUGGAAGUGGACAUCCUAUUGAACUUAUAGUGACCACUUCAUCUUUGGUGCCUGCAGGGUACGCUGAGAAGUUGCCCCAAGGCAAAAGUUGAAUCUCCUGCGGUUGCAAUUGAGCAGGUUCAGUUACUAAAUAUUGAGCACACAUUUCUGAGCUUUGAACAUUUUCGUAACCUCAGAGCAAUUCUUCUGUUUCUCAGGGUGGAAGUGACAACAAAGCACUGAUGGCACCGAAGAAUGACAACGUUUCUGCAAGCAACAGCGAAGCGUAAGUUCAAAACCAUUUACCCUUUUCCAUUGUUAUUCAGGCAGGCAGCUCAUGAACUCACGUGUUUGUCUUCUCCAGCACAAGUGCAGCAGAGACAGGAGCGCCAAAGGCGCCGUGACAGUAUAUAGACGUGAUUGUUGCCUAUAGCUAGACAAGACACCCCGAUAGAAAGCUCUGCUAAUGCGGAAUACUGAUUCUCGUCAAGUGUACAUUCAUUCCUUGCUUGACAGCGUUAGGCAUGUAAUUAUCAUAAGGUGUCCGAUUGAUGUCUGUUGUGUAAACUGUAAAGCCCAGAUGGCAUCUGUUGUGUUACAUUUGCUGCUUUCCUAAGCGGUGACAUUCACAUAAAUCAUAAUCGAGGAUCCUCAUUUCCCGUUGAUUCGACUGCCAUGUUAAUCUUCAAAUUGUAGCUGUCUGUGAUUCCUGUUCUGCACCUACAUGCACCAGGUACCUGAACCAUUUUUCAGACAGCUGAGAUGUGAAAUUGCAGCCUUUUCAUAUUGGUCGUGUGAAAAGGAAAAUAAAAAGGAAACCCCAUGGAAUGAACUCUGCGUCACUCAUGAUGCGACGGUACCUGGCAGAUUACGAAAUCACGGGAGGCUCGUGAUAUCAUGGCUGGCUAUCAUUAUGUUGUAGCGUGUACAAGGGAAAAAAAGAUAUCGGCUCGAUCCAACUAACUGUCAGCUUGCGAGCAUUUGCCGAAAGUCUACGCGCAACAAAAUAUUUUUGGUCCAUUUCGGAAAAAGAACUUCCAUGAACUGGGGGUGUUUGGAUACCAAGAGCUAAACUUUAACCCUGUCACAUCGGAUGUUCGGAUGUUAAUUAGGAUGACUAAACAUGAGUUAAUUACAAAACUAAUUGCAGAACCUCUAGGCUAAAUCGCAAGACGAAUCCAUUAAGUCUAAUUAAUCCAUCAUUAGUGAAUGAUUACUGUAGCACCACAUUGUCAAAUCAUGGACUAAUUAGGCUUAAUAGAUUCGUCUCGCGAUUUAGCCUAGUGGUUGUGCAAUUAGUUUUAUAAUUAAUCUAUAUUUAAUACUCCUAAUUAGUGUCCAAAUAUCCGAUGUGACAGGAGCUAAAAUUUAGCCUAGGGGAGCCAAACACCCCUGAGUUGUUCCAUGUCAGUCUCCUACAUUUUGAUUAACUUUUCAUGACUUUGCUUUACAUAUAAUGACAUAAGAUGUACACAAGUCUACCACCUAACAAUAUGUACGAAAUGUUUGGCAGGGAUUCUAGAUUACGUUUUCUCAUAGAAAGACGUGAUCCCUGGCAGAAAUUGUUUCUGGCAAGUGAUUCAAAUCAGAAAAUGAGGCCUUGUUUAGUUGCCCAACUUUGAAGUGUCAAAAAUACUGUAGCAACACUAUAGCGUUUCGUUUGGAUUUGUGAAUUAUUAUCCAAACAUUGACUAAUUAGGCUCAAAAGAUUCGUCUCGCAAAGUACAACAAAACUGUGCAAUUAGUUUUUAAUUACGUCGACAUUAGUACUCCAUGCAUGUACCGCAAGUUUGAUGUGAUGGGAAAUCUUCUUUUUGCAUAGUGCCAAAGUUGGUAUUUGGGGGUGAACUAAACAAGACCUGAGAGAAAGGGAGGGCGUUGAUGAUCUGCAAGAGGCAGUAGAAAAUGCAGCUGUUUGAGGUCCGUGACGUAAGCUAAUGACACCCAUAUAUGCACUUAGCGCCUCAUGUAGUAGACAAGCGGUGGCUGAGGUGACGAUGAGUUGCGAAGUUUGCGAUGGUUGAUUGGUGUGUAGUGUUGGAGCAGUGGCUUGGAGUUUGUAGUGUUUUGAGUGGUGUCGCGCAUGUUCGUUGGAGUUGCUUAAGGUUGGGUUCUUAUUUUUUUAUUUUUUAUUUGUUGUAUUGUUCAAUAUGGACUCUCAUCUUUUUUUUAAUAUAAUCGGUAGCUUUUAUGUCCGUUUCGUUUAAAAAAAGAAAAUAAGAGAAAUGCUUCUCUUACACGGGGAGCAUCAUGCAAAAUGUGGUUCGAUUCACUUCCUCUAUAUUUCAACUACCAUCCUCUCUUCAGAAAUCACCACGUGAGCCAACUCAUUUCACAAAAGUGAUUCUAAUUGUUUUUGAAAAAAAAACAUGUUCAGCAGAAAACAAAUCUAAAAUGUUUCUAGGAAAUCGGAAUUUUACCAAACAUGCCAUUAAUUCAAACAAAUAUGUGAAAUAGAUUCUUAGAAAAAAAUCCACCUCUUACAAUUUUUUUUUAUAAAACGUAAUUGCAAAUAGGCAAUGCUCGAAACUGUAGAGGCUACUUUAGCCUUUACAACUGCUACGAGUUCCGGUUUGAUGACAUUGACGUACAUUUGCUAUUUGCCACUUUUUUUUAUUAAAGAGGUCAGAAAUAGCCUCUUUUUAACGUAACGGAGCACUCCAGUCGAAUCUCGCGAGUCGACCCGCGAGGCCGUGACGACAACCCCGCUCGUAGUCGUGGCCUCGUGGGCGCGUCCAUCCCUUCCUGCGCACGCGUGCACCUCCCCGCCUCCUUCCUCCGCUCCCCGCCGGCGAUGUCGGUGCCCCCGGCCGGCAACCGCCAGGUCCCUGCCCCCGCCUCCUUCCCUCUCCCUCCGCUGUUCCCUCCCUUCCUAGCUGGCUCACUAUUUCCUUUCUCUGUUCUGCAGGUCUCCCUUCGGGGGUCGAGCGCGAGGGAGAUCACCCGCGACGCGCUCCUGCAGAAGGUCUCCGAGGAGCGCCAGCUCCGAAGCCACCUCCGCCGCGCCGCCGCGGCAGCCCUCUCCAUCCAGGUACCUGCCGCCGCCACCCCCAACCGCUGCCUGCUCUACCCAUCAUGGGUGUUGCCGUAUUGGGUACCCACCUAACCACCCAACCGCCCACCAAUUUCUGUCUGAGCUCUGAAAUCCGCUCGCUGCUCAUGAGUCAUGAUGCUGAUUUUAGGUCCGAUUUUUUCGUGUAGUUUAAUCUAUCUAAAGGCCCGUGGCUUGUUUGAAUUAUAGACACGCUUGAUCUGGAUGUCUUUCUGCAGAGGGGGAGGAAUUCUUUGGCUCAUGAGUAUAUUAUUUUGGCAAAGGCUGAUGGACUGAUUGAUACUCGGAUGUGUUAGGUGCAUUGUUCAGUUCGUAUUACUAUAAUACAUUAUGGGAAUGCAUGGAAAGCAUCCAGAAAACACUAUAUUUCUACUAAAUAUGCAGAGGGUAUGAACACUAGUGAUAAGCUUUAUGCAGAAGCUGUAGUUAAUCAAUCUAGAAUAUGUCCAAAAUUAAACAAAGCCCAGUCAGAAGUCAGAACAUUCAUGGACUACGACAUCAUGAGGAUGAAUAUGUGCAAUGGCUGUAUGAUUGUGCUUUCUUCAACUAUUCUUUUAAUACUGCACACUCAUCAAAUGGAUGGUCACUGUUCUUUUCUUUCUUAUGCCAGCGAAUAUGGAGAAGGUACUAUGUUAUAAGAAUGGUUUCAGAGCAGCUCCAUGAAGACUGGAGACUAUUAAUGAAUGAGCCUAACAUCGACUUGACAACUCAAUGGAUAUCUAGAAAGAUGCUCAGGCCAUUUCUUUUCUUCAUUACUCAACCUUGUAGCUGGUACAAGGGACAACGGAGCAAGACCGUGGAAUCUAUCUUAACAUGCUUCAAGAUUAUCUUGAAUAGCAUAAACUCAAAGGGUAUGUCUUUUUUAAUACUACUACUUUUGCUUUGACCUUUCUGUUUGGUGACUUGAUUGUUUGCGGUUAAUACUGAGGAACGUAAUCUUUGUAUUGCUCAAAGCCUCAAACCCUGUGCAAGAUGGCUGAAUACUUGAAAUAAGUUACCCACUUUAAGAGAAAUAUACAAAAGUGUAGCAGGGUGAAAACACAUCGAGUGGUAUUUCCCACCUUGGCAAUCCUCUUUAUGGUACUGAGUAAUAUCUUUGAUAUAAUUUACUAUCAGACAAUCAGUUCCUUUGGUGCUGACUUUAUUUGAUUAUAUUAUUCAAAUCAAUUGAAUUCAGUGCUUUAAAUUAAGAUUUAUUCCAAGCUUUGGUUGUACGAAGAAAUGGGUCUAACCAGUCACAAUAUGACCUUGUUGAUGGUAGCUCAACAACAGACGCAUGAUAAGCUUGAAAACAUCCACACUAUGAGUAUUCAAAUAUUAGUAUGUGAUACUGGGGAAUUUGAUGUCCACCACAAUAGUUUUGUUUUGCUAUACGAUAGAUUAAGCUAUGCGCCAAAAGUUUAACUUCAUUAUAUUUAGUCCUACAGCAGAACACCAAAUUGUUGGGGCAGGUUCCUUAUGCUUAUUUAUUCUGAUCAGUGCGCAUUCCUUUUCAACUGACUUGUAUCUUUUCUCUGUAGAUGCAAGCAAAAAUUUGUGUUCCUUUGCUGUGGGUAUGCCAGAAGAGAGGUCUAUUUGGCUUUAUCAGGCAAAAAAGCUGAUUUCACUGUGCUCUUUCAUACUUGCCAGGUGCGACCAUUCCUGUUUCAAGGAUGGAAGCAUGGUUGACAUGACUGCUAUUGCUAUGAGAUUGGCUGUGUCUUUAACUGACUGCAAAACAUGGAAAAGCUUAAAAAGUGAAAACACUAGAGCUGCAGAUGAGUCUGUAGAGAGUUUGAUUGAAUUUAUAGGUACAUGCCAGAGUGGCACAUAUAAUUGUGUUAGGCAAUAUAUAAAAUGUCUUGGUCCUCAUGUUACUUCAGGGAAGAAAAGUUCUGCAAUUGCAACUGCAACUGCAACAGAUGAUCAUUUUGUGAUUACUGCUAGUGCAGUCACUUUAGCCUUGCGCCCAUUCCACUCUAAGAAAGCAGAGAGGGGCACUGAUCUGAAUGGUGCUUCAAAGGAAUACUUCACACUGAUACUCACAAUACCAUAUCUAUGCAAACGCAUGCCACCUUUGCUGUUACCUGCUCUUAAGCACAUUUCUGUGCUGCAACCGUGUCUCAAUAUUUUACUGGUAAGGGUCUUAAUGUUGGUAUGGACAAAUUCAGCUCUGGCAUUUUCUAUUUUAUUGGAUUGAUUUUUGUGAAAGCAUUGACUCUCCAAGGAUUCAGAACUUUCAACUACUAUUUUUUCUUGUGUUGACAUAACAAGAUAGUAAGAAUUAUUCGUCUAGUUGAGCCCUCUAACUUUCAAAGUAGUGUAUUUAUAUCUGCUAAAUUCUUAACCGAUGUUUGUUUUACUGUAAGAAGCACUUUGCUGUUUGUGAUCAAUAUACUGCUCUGUAUUGCUCUGUAUGUUGGCGCACCGUUGUAAGAUAUGCCAUGACAUGAUUCUUGCUACAACUUUUUAACUUAUAGUGUGGCUGACCUAGUCAUAAGUGAACUAAAUGCAAUUGCUAAAGGAUACCAAUCUUAUUCUAGUCUCAUUUCUACUCGUCUCCAAGUUCCCAUAGUGUUUAUAAGAAACUUCAGCAUUUUCUCUAUAUCUAGGGAAAAAAAAAUAAUUAAGUUCCGUGCUACUUGUGAUUUUAAUGAAUUCUUGACACUUAUCCUUCUAGGUGUUGUAGUGUUGGUAUUAUUGCUUCGCUACCUACUUCAGCAGUCAGUGUUUUUAAAUUUACAUGAACCAUCACAGUUUAUUCGUUGUUUAUUUUAAAGGAUGGCAUAUUGUAAAUGUGGAACUGAUCAAGCCAUGGCAGGUGGUGGCAGAUCUCCAAGGAUAAAAUUUUUGAAGAUAUAAUAAAAUUGGAGCAGUCAGAGGUUUCAGCUGUUGGCGCUACUGUUAUUCCUUGCUCUGGUUGGGCUCUUGGAAAUAUCGUAAAUUUAGCUACCAAUCAUGAUGAUUUAUCCAAUUCAGGGUGCUUCAUUGAAGGGCUAGAUUUUUGCUUAUAUGUUGAUGUUAUUAACUGUAUUUCCCAAAACUUACUGGAAAGUUUUGAGAAAAGCAAGGGAAUGUCUGUUGGUAAUACCGCUUUCCAUGCUGAGACAUCUAUUGCAGAGGAAGGGGAUACAAAUGGCAGCAGCAUGAGAACAUUAUUUAUGGACCUUCUGAAGCCAAUUUACCAGCAGUGGCACCUGAGGAAGCUUUUGACAUUGGCAAAGGAGGAUGUUUCGUGCAGCAGGGGAACUAAUUAUGAUCCAAUUCGGAGCCUAAAGUUGUCAGAUGUCGUAUGCUUCUACUAUCACUUGCUCAGAAUUUUCUCAUCAUUCAACCCUUCUAUCGGCGCGCUGCCUAUUCUCAAUAUGCUUGCAUUCUCUCCUGGAUUUCUUGUUGAUUUAUGGGGGGCACUAGAAAUAUCCAUUUUUGGCCAAGCAAUCCAGAAUUUACAAGAAACAGGACAGGAUAAACAGUUGGCUACAAGUAGUUCAGGUGAGCAAGUAUCCUCCACGAGGCAAAGAAGGAAUGCCAAGGACACAGCAACCAAGUGGGCAAAUGUGCUCCAGAAGAUUACAGGAAAAUCCAAUGAUUCAGAGGAGGGCACAAUGCCAGAUAAUAUUUUAAUUUCUCAGCAGUCUAAUGAUGAUGCAUUAACUUUAUGGGAUAUUGAAGCUAUGAGACAUGCAUCUGAAGGUAUUGGAAAGGACUUAACGUGCAUGAUGUAUCUUUUUUGUGCUAUAUAUGGGCACCUAUUACUUGUGCUAGAUGAUAUUGAGUUUUAUGAGAAGCAGGUAAUAUGCUCUGUGCCCAUGCGCAUCUCUAUAUAUCUUAGUCACCUCACCUUUUGAUGGCACUCUUUGCUUUCUCUGACUUUACAGGUUCCUUUUACCUUAGAGCAGCAGCGGAAGAUCGCAUCAGCACUUAAUACAUUUGUAUACAAUUCUUUUGUUCAGAAUGGUGGAAGCUACAGCAAACCGCUUCUGGAUGUAUCUGUCAGAUGUCUUAAUCUACUAUAUGAAAGGGAUAGUAGGCAUAAGUUCUGUCCAAUUUCUUUGUGGUUGGCACCUGCUAGAAAUGGUCGAAUUCCAAUUGCUGCUGCUGCCAGGGCCCACGAGGCAGCAUUUGGUAAUUUUCCAGGAAAUAAUUCUUCAGGAAUUCCUACCCGGAGCUCUGUGCUUACCACAUUACCACAUGUAUAUCCGUUUGAGGAGAGGUACCUUACUGUAUUUAGAUCCAGAAAAAGUCAACACCUUCCAUAGAUAUCGUAAACUUAACUGAACUGAUAUUUUGAAAUUUUAAAAAAUCCUAAACUUAAGCUUAUGAUCUUUGAGUUAAUUGUUCAUACCUACCUUACCAACCUGUCCUGAGUUCCUUUUUGCAGUUGACAAUUGAAAUUGGUUGUUCUUUGUUGCUGUUCUCACACACAGAUCCCCUAAAGAGAUACUUAUACACCAUGAUUCACUUUAGUAGCAAUUUUCUUGCUGUAUCAAAACUUAAAAACUUAUACUUCUUAAUUCCUAUCACUGAUUGUAGGUACAUGAUAUUUCACAAAGUUUACCUGGUAAUUCUGUCUGUUGGUUGUGGAAAGUUUGAUACACAUGUCCCUUUAAAAAUGGCCAAAGUCAGCCCUUUUACCAAAAAUGUUUAAAUUUGCGUACAAAGUUCUAACAGUUUUCAUCUGAGAUUUAUUGAAUGAAAAGUUACCCAGACCUUUUCCGCUGCUGGAGCUCAUGUAGUGGUCAUAUGAUAAUUGUCUAGCUUUAUUGUUAUGUUGCUAUGGCAUGACAGACAUAUCUCACUAGUUUGUAUUCAUUUUUGGUUUCGUCGUGAAUUUUAUUUAUAAUAGCACAUAUAUUCUUUUUACAUGCAGCACACAAUUUUAGUACAUAAACAUUUCUAUGCAAUCCUAACUUUUCUUAACACCAUUUUAUGUCGUUUACCCAGAGUGCAGAUGUUUAGAGAAUUUAUUGAGUCAGACAAAGCAUCAAGAAGAGUUACUGGUGAAAUAUCUGGACCAGGUCCGGGAUCUAUUGCGAUAGUUAUACGUCGAGGCCAUAUAAUUGAAGAUGGAUACAGGCAGUUGAACUGCCUAAGGUCAAAGUUGAAAUCUUGCAUUCAUGUGUCAUUUGUAAGUGAAUGCGGCCUUCCUGAAGCUGGUUUGGACUAUGGUGGUCUCUCAAAGGAGUUCCUAACGGAUCUUUCUAAGACUGCUUUUAGUCCGGAGUAAGCAUACUGUUAGAACUUUUAGCCCUUAAAUAUACAACUUGUUUUUUCUCAAAAGUGAAGAGUACUGUCAUUCAUCAAGGCAAUGUUUCUAACCUUUUCUAUUUCUCACAAUACUCAAUAGGUAUGGGCUGUUUUCACAAACAUCAGCAUCUGAUACCAGCUUAAUUCCUAGCAAUUCUGCUAGGCUUUUGGAUAACGGCAUUGAUAUGAUUGAGUUUCUUGGUCGAGUUGUCGGCAAAGCACUCUAUGAGGGGAUUCUGUUGGACUAUACUUUUUCACCGGUAUUUGUGCAGAAACUUCUUGGGCGGUAUAAUUUUUUGGAUGAGCUAUCAACACUUGAUCCUGAGCUCUAUAGAAAUCUUAUGCAACUAAAGGUACUAUAGAUUUUUGUUUUGGUUUGGUUCCCAAGAUACAAGCAAGUUAAACUACUACUUAGAAUAUUACUUUUUCCAUUGAAAUGAUCAUGUUAUCGGUGGAUGGCUAUUAUCAGCCCUUUAUUUUAGUAUAUGUACCGUUUUAUUUAUAAAUAUCAAUCAUUAUCCACUAGUGCUGCUUAGCUUUCCUUAUCAUUCUUUCAAUGUAUUUGUAGUUUGCAGUGUUCACAUGUUAGGGAUCAAUGCUACGCAUUUAUUGUUGCUCCUCAUAUUUUUGACAAGAUCUUGACAUUUAUUAAGCCUUGUUAAAAUUGGUUGUACUUUUGGUAUUGAUGUGGUUUCUCUCUGUAGAGGUUAUAUAUCAUAUUAGUUUUUUUAUCAGCUACCUCUGUAAAGACUGCAUAUGGUGCCAGUUUGGUUUUUCUUUUAAUGAAAUAGCAUGCAUGUAAUGAGAUGAUAAAUUUUGAUGCUAUCACCUUUUUUGUAAGAAUAAUGUGAACUACUUUUCUACCAAACAGCACUAUGAUGGGGAUGUUGAGGAUCUAUGUUUGGAUUUUACUGUAACUGAAGAGUUGGGUGGUAAAAGAAUCAUCCAUGAGCUGAGACCUGGUGGUAAAAGUACAUCUGUCACGAAUGAUAAUAAGCUGCAUUAUGUUCAUGCAAUGGCAGAUUUCAAGCUUAACCGCCAGGUUGUGACUUGGUCCAUUUUUCUUAUGAUUUGUGAGGUUUUUUUCUGUACCAGUAAGAAAGCUUUUUUAUACCAUUGUCCUUGCAGAUACUUCCAUUUGCAAAUGCAUUUUAUAGAGGACUCAGUGAUCUCAUUUCACCAUCUUGGCUAAGCCUGUUUAAUGCAAAUGAAUUUAAUCAGGUAUUUCUCUUCUAUUUUCUUUCUUUCUGUUUUUUGAGAGAAUUCUCUUCUAAAUUUUGGAUACUACUGAAACUGGCAUUGCCCCUGCUAUACCGUGGAACCUGAUCUUUGAACUGACAGUAGUAAAUAAAGUAGAUAAAGUAGAAAACUCUGAAUGAAUCAAUUACUAAAAAUUAAGAAAAAAAUUCUAACUUAAAAUAUUUUGUAAAACUUUUUGAAAAAUGAAAUUGUGAUGUAAAAGGUAUAAAUGAAGAAAAAUUGAAAUUCAAAAAUGCGCUUGAGUAAAUAACACAUCGUGCUUCUUUUUGGUAAAGAGUACCAAUUAGAACUGGCCAAAUACCCUAGCACCCUUGAUAUAUCAACCAACAAUUGACUAGCUCAAAAAAAUUAUGGCAUACAACGUAUUAGCUGGUUUAGUGCGUGAAUGCCCAAGGCCCAAAACUGAAACUGUGAUAGCCCACAAUUUCAAAACCCUGCUAAUUAUCAUUGCCGCAUGCAGUUACUUUCAGGCGGGCUGCAGGAUUUUGAUGUUGAUGAUCUGCGGAACAACACUAAGUAUACUGGUGGUUAUACGGUGUCAAGUCGAACUGUUAAACUCUUCUGGGAGGUAUAUGUAUUUGUAUAAUUUUGAUCAUUUUGCAUUAAUGGCUUCUUGCUAUUUCCUGUUUUGCAUUCUUAUAUUUUGAGACCAUGUUUUGCAUAUAACAUGGAAAAGAUCCUAGGGCUAUUAGCUUGGUUACCUAUGUUCAUGCAAAUUAUACACCCAAUUUGGAAAAUGGAUGGAACCGCUGGAGUUUGUUUAUGUAUUUUCUUGUUUGAUGAUAAAAAAAAACUCGACCUGCGGGGGUAAGACAGCCCUCGGGCUUUUUUCUAAGAGAGAAGACCUUCUCACACAGGUCGAGAAAACCCCCGAACCUCUGCCCCGCCCUUACCCAGGGGCCUGUAACCCUUGUGAGACUACCACUAGGCUAGCGACCACUGCAACUACCCCAAGUAGGAGGGCCCAAACCAACCACAGCUACGACUUGGCUUGGGCCUUGACCUGUGCUUUGGUUAUGGUGACAGAACCUGAGGAGUGCUACUGGGACCAUCUAACCAACUCAGCUAGAGGCCCGUUCGCUUCUUGUUUGAUGAUAACUUUGGAAAAUAUCAUUUGGUGUUCUCAUUCUGUAAUACAAUUGUGACCCUGACAUGCCGGCAGCUGAAACUUGCCAUAUACACUCCUGUCAUUGUGCUGCAUUACUGUGGCCUACUUGCAUGUGUAGCAUUUGUCCACCCCUUUUCAGUGCUACAUGGUUUGGUCUGUUUGCUUUGCUGGUAUUUCAGCCCAAUUUUGUUAAAUAACUGUUUUUGUUUACCAGCAGCAAAUAAAUUAUUGCUUAUAUGGUUCUCACAUCUGUACUCAUUCUGCAGGUCAUCAAAGGAUUGAAGCCAACAGAGCGUUGUUUGCUCCUGAAGUUUGUGACAAGCUGUUCACGAGCUCCCUUACUUGGAUUCAAGUACCUGCAGCCUUCUUUCACAAUACAUAAGGUUUGAUCAAGCAGAUUGCAAGAACUUUUCCUGUUUUGGGGAUAUGUGAUAGAUUGACUUAGGAAGGUGUGGCGUACCGCAUUGCUGCUGUGCAGCAACUUCUAAGCCCUUGAUAUCUUUACCCUUUCUUUGCACUAGUGAAUCAACUGAGGUGUUGCAUGCUUUUCAACCAAAAAAAAAAAACUGAUUUGUUGCAUAGUUCAGAUACCCUCUAAAUUUGUGUAUGGAGCUAACGCUAAUUAUCUCAUUGAAGGAAGUACUUGAUGGUAUUGGUUUUAGUUCUGUAACUAUGAAAACUCUGGCAACAGGGUUGAAUCCAUGUAUUAUUUUGUUCUUUUCUAUCUGAUUCAUCAAUCUUCUCUCAUUGGCCUAGGUUCCAUGUGAUGUAACACUUUGGGCUUCAAUUGGAGGCCAAGAUGUAGACCGCCUUCCAUCUGCCUCCACAUGCUACAAUACGCUCAAGGUAUGGCUACAUGUGUGUCUGCAUUCAAUCAGUAUCAUCUCUUCGCUCUGCUGCUAUUGUAAUCUGUUUUGAGUUCAUUCUUUGACAAGUCAAAUCUCUUAGGAUCAGUGGCCAUUGAGCAUUCAUAUAUCCUGGCAUGCAUUUCUAACUUCUUUUCUAAUGCUUUUUGUUGCCUUCAGCUUCCGACGUACAAGCGAUCAAGCACGCUGAGGAGCAAGCUGCUCUACGCCAUCAGCUCGAACACCGGGUUUGAGCUCUCGUAGAGGUAGUGUAUAUGCAGUGGUGCCGUCGUAACCGUGUUAAGGUUUGCUGUGAAUAGAGGUAUAGCGAAAUUUCAUCAGAUGUAUGAAUUGCCGCCAAUAUUAUCUUGUUCAUUCGGAACAACAGCUCAUUUGAAGGUUAACGCGAAUAUCUAUUCCAGUACAGAAGUUUGUUGGCAAGUCGAAAUGCCGGAACAGUAUGCAUUUCUAUGGUAUGUGCUUGUGCAGUUCAGCAGUUGCCAGUAGCUUCAGCUUAUCAGCUACCGAACAGUAUUUUUCUCUCACAACAAAUCAGUUGUUUUAGCUUUUCAGCCGGCUUAUAAAUUCAGCCGAACGCUCCCAACUGGUGGUCCCGGCCUGCCCAGACGGGCAGCUUUGUAAGUCGGUGCUCUCAGAAAGUUCAGGGGAAGGCACUCCGUGUGGGUAGAACCCAACGGCUGUAUGCUACUUCGAAAUAUGCUGCUUACGUACUUUACGUCGAUCACUCAAGGUCCAAAUUCCAGAUUGGGAAGACGGCGAAGAUAGAAAUUAUACCGAGCGGCACUCUUACACACCAGUCCAACUGUUCCUAAAGCAGAACACAACUACAGGAGAUCAUGGACAGGCAGCAAGCAAACAAACAAAGCACAAGCUAGCAGUAGCAGCGCAGAACGACAGAAAAGCAAGGUACAUGGAUCGGGUACGGCGGCAGGAAGGGGAAUUGGAGUGUGUUUCCCGGAGGCGCGGCGGGGCUGCGUGCGUCGCUCACGCGAUGAGCUGCAGGCCCUGCAGGAGCAGCGCGUCGGCGAGCACCCGGUUGGCGGCGUCCGUGGGGUGGAAGCCGUCCCAGAAGACGUAGCCCGUGGCGUUGGUGCACGUCCCCGGGGCGCCCUGGUGGCACAGCACCGACGUCUCGAUGGUGCCCGUCCCGCAGCACGCCCGCCGCGACUCGAAGAACCCUGAAAUCAUCAUCGAGCAUGGACGACGACUUGUCAUAAAAAAGUAGGGAGAAGAGCAGAGGAUUUUGUCGUCCGGCGUGCACUGAUCCGGCCCCUUACCGGCGCUGGUGGGGUUGUUGACGAGGUCGAGGAGCGGCUGGUAGAUGUCGAAGACGAUGAGCUUGAGGUCCGGGCGUUGCCGCUUCACGGCGUCCGCGGCCGAGUCCAACUUCCGGUUGAAGGUCAGGGAGUCGUUGUUGAGGCGCUCCACGCAGCCUGUGCUCCCGCCGCCGAACAGGGUGACGGCUCCCGGGAGGCACCCCAUCGGCGGCAGCGACGUCACGCCGAUCCGGCGGGCGCCCAGGCUGUACAGGCCCUGCAUGGCAUCACGUACGUUGGCACACAUUCAGGGUCCUUUGGAUUUGGAUUGAAGGAAUUUUGUGGGAAUACUGUUCAUAGAGGAAUGCUUCCUAUUCUAUCUUUGGUUUGCAGGAAACGUGAAUAGUAUUCCAUAGGAAUUUUACUCCUUUGCAUGCUGAUUCCAAAGGAAUUUUAAAAUCCACUAAAACCUCUUGGUAAAAUUCCUAUGCACGAAGAACGAGAAAUUCAAUGUUGUUGGUGCUAGUUAAUUGUUGUCCUUGCAUGUGGAGCUGAGCAUAAUUGUUGGUGCAUACUUUAGACAUGUCUUAUCAAUCAGUGGAAAACAACAACUUCAUCAUAGCUAAAACUCCUUUAGGAUUCCUACGUUUUUCCUAUGACCUAUCCAAAGGGUCAUUCCUUCAAAAUUCCUAGAUUUUCCAAUCCUAUGUUUUGCAUCUACAUUCCUACAAUAUUCCUUUGUUUUUCCUAUUCCCAUGUUUCUCUUUUCCUUCAUUCCAAAGGAGCACUCGGUGCUUAUCAGCCAUGCAAGCACAGAGCUGAGUGAUUCCUCAAUUGAAUACUCCUCAACCAAUUCCGCAAGCACAGAGUAUUCAACUAGAAGCAGUGCAUUAUUGGACACUUUCAGUUUCAGAUGCGUAUGCAGUUUAGUUAUUACCCUGAUCUGAUGGUUGAUGCGAGCGACGAGCAUCGCUCUAGGCUUUCUGGAAGAAGAUUUGUCGUGUCCUUGACUUGUUCUCUCUCCCCUCUGGAUCGCAGCAACUCUACUGGUUUGGUUUGGUACACGCCAUUUAAGAUUUACUGCCACGGCCACGGGCCAUGCAUGUCGGUAUCACUCAAUGUGAUGAGCUGACGAUGCACUAUGCAACAUUACUGGUACUACCCCAUAUCGAGUAGUAUUUGAGACAGCAUCUUGACUAGUGACCACCGAGCGAGCGAGUGCAUCGACAAAGGCUGGCCAACGCCAGUGCAGGCGCAGUAAUUAACCAAGGGUACGUGUCCUAUCUCUACCGUUCUCUCCAUGCAUGGACACCGUUGCGGGGUUUGGCAUGGAAACGGAGGCGCGUUAUUCAUCGGGCAGCAGCCAGCACUUUCCGUGCUAGUGGUGGUUGGGCCGGCGCCAGUUUGAUGUCGCAAAGAAACAUCGAACACGCAUGCAACUUUCCACAACGGCGAGCCACUGUACCCACCGUCUCUACUUCUCCACAGCUCGCAACGUACACUCGGUCACAUGCACCGGAGCACGAACGAAAUCUCGAACCCAAUCUCCAAGCAUAGCAUGCAACUAGUAGGGACGCGACAUGUGACGACAGUUAACACACUAGAGCUGCAGUGGACUGGGCCCAAUAGGUCUCCAAAGGCUUGGCAUUGAUGUCGCAGCAACGAGCCAACGACUCCGUACGCAGAGACACAGUGGACGGCAGGCGACCAUGUUCACCCAGCAGAGGGGUCCUAGCCUCCUAGGGGAGUUACUGAGGCCAUUACAUUGCGCUGCAUUCAUUCCUACACGGCCCUACUCGCUGCAACCUGUGACCUCAUAUCGUAUCCACCACUGGCCCCCUGCGACGCCACUUGGUGGACGU
rnacentral:lncRNA from 1 species